rnacentral:rRNA from 1 species
UACGGGGGGAGCAAGCGUUGUUCGGAUUUACUGGGCGUAAAGGGCGCGUAGGCGGCCACCGCAAGUCGGUUGUGAAAUCUCCGGGCUUAACCCGGAAAGGUCAACCGAUACUGCGGGGCUAGAGUGCAGAAGGGGCAACUGGAAUUCUCGGUGUAGCGGUGAAAUGCGUAGAUAUCGAGAGGAACACCUGCGGCGAAGGCGGGUUGCUGGGCUGACACUGACGCUGAAGCGCGAAAGCUAGGGGAGCGAACGGG